rnacentral:lncRNA from 1 species
AAUUUAAUAUUAACUAUUACCAUGCUACUAUUAUUUCUUUGGUAUGUUAAAACACUUUAAAAUAUAAGCAUUUUUAUAUUAAUGUGAAAGCUUGAAAAUAUCUCUCACAUUGUAUUUAGCAUCAAGAACUCAUUUUUUAUUUUUUCUAACAUACAAGAAAACUUACAUUAAGCAUGAGAAAUAAGAACUUAAAAUAUCAUGUAUUAUAGACCCUCCCACUGAUAAAUCAUAUCACAGCUAUACUUCUAUUUUCCUUUCUAUAAUUGCUCAUAAAAUAAGAAGGGGGGCUCAGCAGUGCUUGAGGAGAGAUAUAAAAAUUGAACAUUAAUUUUAUUCAGAUGAGAUGAUUUGUAUGCAAGCUGAUCAGGCUACAAGUUUAUCUCAUUACAAGCUCAAGGCUGUAAGCAUUUCAUCAUUUCUUGGGUGCCAUUAACUUUAAUAAUAUGACUGCCUGCAUUGUGUGUUAAAAUGUGUGGCUGUUCUGCGAUUCUGUAUGAUGAUGAAGUGUUUGUGAAUAUUUAUUACUUCAGUCUUUAGUGCUCUCAACUUUAUACUAAAUACCAAAGUUAAUUGCCUGUACUGCUCUAAUUGCAUUGUUUAGAGAAUACCAUCCUUUUCCUCUUCAGUUGCAGAGAUAU